rnacentral:rRNA from 1 species
AUCUGGCAUAUCAAUAAGCGGAGGA